UACGUAGGGCGCAAGCGUUGUCCGGAAUUAUUGGGCGUAAGAGCUCGUAGGCGGUUUGUCGCGUCUGCUGUGAAAACCUAAGGCUCAACCUUGGGCUUGCAGUGGGUACGGGCAGACUAGAGUGCGGUAGGGGUGACUGGAAUUCCUGGUGUAGCGGUGGAAUGCGCAGAUAUCAGGAGGAACACCGAUGGCGAAGGCAGGU
rnacentral:rRNA from 1 species